UCAGGCUUUUGCUAAAUUUGAUCUCAUAGGAAGGAAAUGGCUCAAAAUUGGCAUACUCUCAGUAUGUGUUGAUCCCAUUAAAGUUGACACUUUACUGAUCAUGCA